CACAAAUUCUGAUUUUAUCAUUAUCUCCUUGAAGUUAUACCUAGGUAAAAUUUGUUUUUAGAAAAUACGCUAACUUAAAAAUCGGAGUUAGAUCUCUGGUAGAAAAGUUGUUCACAGAUAAAACCAAUAAAUACGUUCCUCGUUUCGCUCAGAAUCCAAAAAAUACGUUUUACAUUUAGCUAAAAUAUAUUAACGGCUUUACUUGUGAGUUAUAAUCAUAAUGAGAAAAAAUAAGUCUGACACACUUUGCACCGUGGAUUGGUCACUUUUGCUGGUUGGUAGUUGGAAAAUUAGGAUGUAUACUGUGUAACGUAAUUUGUUUUAUUCAUUUAAUCAUAUAACGAUAAAUCAUUAAAAAUUAAGAUCCUGGAACAAAAUAGUAUCGGUUGUGUUUGUCUCUUGUUGCCAAUGUAACCCGGAAAUCAACGGAAAAAAAAAAAACCAAAAAGAAAAAAAAAGUGCGAAUCUUUGAACCGUUGAAAAUGUCGAUAAAUACUAACAAUAAUAAUGCCGGAAAUUAUCUUUCUUUUAAGGGGGCUCCAUGAAAAAAUCGGGACAUUUUUACUUAACGAAAAAGUGUUUUCCGGGAAGAAAACAUCUUUAUAAAACUCACAACUUAUUUUCAUUCGUUGUGGAUAGAAUUCAAAAUAAUGCUAUAUAUUAUUGUUUUAUACUAAUAAAACAGAAUGCUAAUUUAAGUUAGGUACUUAUAAUUUAUAAUGAAAAAUGUGCAAAAUCGAUUCUCUUUAACUGCGCACUGACAAAUUUUUAACGUACAUCUACGCAAUAAGUUUUGUAAACAAUAUUUUAAGAAGAACGAAAUAUAUUAUUAUUUUCGCUAGGAAAAAUGUUUGUAUAAAAAAAAAAAAAA